CGACCCCAGGUCAGGCGGGACUACCCGCUGA
rnacentral:rRNA from 2 species